AUUGAACGCUGGCGGCAGGCUUAACACAUGCAAGUCGAGCGGGGGAAGGUAGCUUGCUACUGGACCUAGCGGCGGACGGGUGAGUAAUGCUUAGGAAUCUGCCUAUUAGUGGGGGACAACAUUCCGAAAGGAAUGCUAAUACCGCAUACGUCCUACGGGAGAAAGCAGGGGACCUUCGGGCCUUGCGCUAAUAGAUGAGCCUAAGUCGGAUUAGCUAGUUGGUGGGGUAAAGGCCUACCAAGGCGACGAUCUGUAGCGGGUCUGAGAGGAUGAUCCGCCACACUGGGACUGAGACACGGCCCAGACUCCUACGGGAGGCAGCAGUGGGGAAUAUUGGACAAUGGGGGGAACCCUGAUCCAGCCAUGCCGCGUGUGUGAAGAAGGCCUUAUGGUUGUAAAGCACUUUAAGCGAGGAGGAGGCUACUAGUAUUAAUACUACUGGAUAGUGGACGUUACUCGCAGAAUAAGCACCGGCUAACUCUGUGCCAGCG
rnacentral:rRNA from 1 species